rnacentral:tRNA from 1 species
GGUCUCGUAGCUCAGUGGUAGAGCGCCCGCCUGUCGAGCGGGAGUGCGCCGGUUCGAUUCCGGUCGGGGUCG